CAUCUUCAAAUUAGGCAUAGUUUUUAGGUAAUUUGCAUAGUGCUAAGACAAUUUAACAUUCAUAUUUACAUAUAUUGGUUAUACUGUACUCUUUAUUUUAAUUGGCAGAAGAAACAAAAGGGACAGCACCCAUGACAGAAUGCUCUGACACUGAUGCUUUACACUAUUAUGUGUCCUCCAUUAUGCUAACAAUGGGCUUUACAUUUCAAAAGUAUUAAUGAGUGAUGAAUGGCAAAAUGUUAAAUUGAACUAAAAAGUCUUCUUCAGUAAAUGCCUGUCUACAUAACUCUGCCAACAGCAGUUACCUGGAUAACAUCUUAUGCCUCUUUGAAAACUCUCCUGUAACAUCCCUUAUAUGGCACUGAUUGGUAGCUGAAUCGCUGUGCUUUAGAUUUGCACCUCUUUGAUGUUUUACAAAUGACUUUCUGUUGGUCAGCUUGUGUGCCGUUUAAAUGGGCUUCUUAUUUUGCCACUGUACUAUUCACUCUUCUCACAAAUAUUGCAUUGGGUGGCUGUAUUCUUUUCCAUCUGUAAAAAGUAGCAGCAUACAAUGCUAUACUUUUGGUCUGCCAUUGUCUUACAUGAUCUGCGCUUACGCAAGUGGUGUGGGUGUAUGGUGUUCUUAUGUCACUUAACCUAAGUGAUAGCGUGUUCCAUGGCCACAACAAUAAGAGGGUUGUAAAUAGUUACUGAUUGUUUUAUUGUUACUUUUGUGUAUUUUUGUUGGUCGAGAUAAACUUGUUUCUAGAAAGGGGCAUUACAAUAAAGUUAACGGGCUAAAAUGAUUUGGUCCAGAUAUGACAGAUUGGAUGUCAAACAAACUAAAGUAAAAUGGCAAGUUUCCAAAAAGUCGGUAAAAAUGGCAACGCAUCCUGUUAAGUAUUUAAGACAGAAAUGGCAGAAUGGUGGAACUGGUGUGAAAAAGCACAGGAUGAUGUUCAAGACUAUUGGCAACCAACAGCUCCCGAGUGUUCUUCGGGCACACUUCAGGAUGUAUAUCCAUUAGUCAGUGUGAUUUUGUUAGGAGCAGAGCAUGUCUUGUCUGGGUCCAUAGGUAAAAACUCCAGAACUGUCUAUCCACACCAUCUUACCCUGAAAAUGUGUGUAUACUAAGAUGGGGAGAAAAAGAAGCAAGAUGUAUGUGGAAGAGAUACAGGUGGUUCACGCUGGAGACCAGUAGUUAUAGUAGAGGAAAGAACCUGGCUGUUGUGUUUUGCAAGCUAAACUGUUUGUUUAAAGAGAUAGAAAAGUCAUCUGUGGUAAAGGUGUGUUUUAGAUAUAAGGAAGAGCUGUGAUGGCUGCAAAAAGAGAAAAAAAGAAUUUAAGGA